rnacentral:rRNA from 1 species
UACGGAGGGUGCAAACGUUGCUCGGAAUCAUUGGGCGUAAAGCGCACGUAGGCGGCUCGUUAAGUCGGGUGUGAAAGCCCUGGGCUCAACCCAGGAAGUGCAUUCGAAACUGGCGAGCUUGAAUAUGGAAGAGGGUCGCGGAAUUCCCGGUGUAGAGGUGAAAUUCGUAGAUAUCGGGAGGAACACCAGUGGCGAAGGCGGCGACCUGGGCCAAUAUUGACGCUGAGGUGCGAAAGCGUGGGGAGCAAACAGG